rnacentral:rRNA from 1 species
UGCAGUCGAACGAGUUCUCGUUGAUGAUCGGUGCUUGCACCGAGAUUCAACAUGGAACGAGUGGCGGACGGGUGAGUAACACGUGGGUAACCUGCCCUUAAGUGGGGGAUAACAUUUGGAAACAGAUGCUAAUACCGCAUAGAUCCAAGAACCGCAUGGUUCUUGGCUGAAAGAUGGCGUAAGCUAUCGCUUUUGGAUGGACCCGCGGCGUAUUAGCUAGUUGGUGAGGUAAUGGCUCACCAAGGCGAUGAUACGUAGCCGAACUGAGAGGUUGAUCGGCCACAUUGGGACUGAGACACGGCCCAAACUCCUACGGGAGGCAGCAGUAGGGAAUCUUCCACAAUGGACGCAAGUCUGAUGGAGCAACGCCGCGUGAGUGAAGAAGGCUUUCGGGUCGUAAAACUCUGUUGUUGGAGAAGAAUGGUCGGCAGAGUAACUGUUGUCGGCGUGACGGUAUCCAACCAGAAAGCCACGGCUAACUACGUGCCAGCAGCCGCGGUAAUACGUAGGUGGCAAGCGUUAUCCGGAUUUAUUGGGCGUAAAGCGAGCGCAGGCGGUUUUUUAAGUCUGAUGUGAAAGCCCUCGGCUUAACCGAGGAAGCGCAUCGGAAACUGGGAAACUUGAGUGCAGAAGAGGACAGUGGAACUCCAUGUGUAGCGGUGAAAUGCGUAGAUAUAUGGAAGAACACCAGUGGCGAAGGCGGCUGUCUGGUCUGUAACUGACGCUGAGGCUCGAAAGCAUGGGUAGCGAACAGGAUUAGAUACCCUGGUAGUCCAUGCCGUAAACGAUGAAUGCUAGGUGUUGGAGGGUUUCCGCCCUUCAGUGCCGCAGCUAACGCAUUAAGCAUUCCGCCUGGGGAGUACGACCGCAAGGUUG